UUUUUCUCCCCUAGUUAGGGGAACUACAUAGCCCUGAUCCUUGUUCCAGACGAGGUAUGUAGGCAGGUGGUCGUGCGAGACCACUCCGGGCGCUUUUUUUCCUUUUUUGUGUGUGUUUGUUUGACAAUUGAUAGGCUCGAGUUCCCGACUCCUUGGCAAUUUGUUGUUUGUUGUUCUUGUUGUGUGCUUGGAAGCUGAUGUAAGUCCAUCGAGUGGCAUUCGGGUUCCAGUGUGGGUUUGUUGGGUUCGGAUGCU
rnacentral:lncRNA from 1 species